rnacentral:rRNA from 1 species
AUUGAAUGCUGGCGGCAGGCUUAACACAUGCAAGUCGAGCGGUAACAGAGAGAAGCUUGCUACUCUGCUGACGGGCGGCGGACGGGUGAGUAAUGACUAGGAAUCUGCCUAGUAGUGGGGGAUAACUUGCCGAAAGGUAAGCGAAUACCGCAUACGUCCUACGGGAGAAAGGAGGGGACCUUCGGGCCUUUCGCUAUUAGAUUAGCUUAGGUCGGAUUAGUUAGUUGGUGGGGUAAUGGCUCACCAAGACCGCGAUCCGUAACUGGUCUGAGAGGAUGAUCAGUCACACUCGACCUGAGACACGGGCCAGACUCGUACGGGAGGGAGCCGUGAGAAAUAUUGGACACUGGGCGGAGCCCUCAUCCACCCAUGCCGCGUGUGUGAAGAAGGUUUUGGGAUUGUAGAGCACUUUAAGUUGUGAGGCAAAGCAGUUAACUUAUAUUUGAGUGUUUUGCCGUUGACGACAGAAUAAUCACCGGCUGACGCCGUGCCAGCCGCCGCCGUAA